rnacentral:rRNA from 1 species
CGCCUGUUUACCAAAAACAUCACCUCCAGCAUUUCCAGUAUUGGAGGCACUGCCUGCCCAGUGACUAAACGUUAAACGGCCGCGGUAUUCUGACCGUGCAAAGGUAGCAUAAUCAUUUGUUCUCUAAAUAAGGACUUGUAUGAACGGCCACACGAGGGUUUUACUGUCUCUUACUUCCAAUCAGUGAAAUUGACCUCCCCGUGAAGAGGCGGGAAUGAAUUAACAAGACGAGAAGACCCUAUGGAGCUUUAACUAACUAGUCCAAAAGAAAUAAAUUUAACCACUAAGGGAUAACAACAUCCUUUAUGGACUAGCAGUUUUGGUUGGGGUGACCUCGGAGAACAAGAGAUCCUCCGAGCGAUUUUAAAGACUAGACUUACAAGUCAAAUCAAAUUAUCGCUUAUUGAUCCAAAAAACUUGAUCAACGGAACAAGUUACCCUAGGGAUAACAGCGCAAUCCUAUUCAAGAGUCCAUAUCGACAAUAGGGUUUACGACCUCGAUGUUGAUCAGGACAUCCUGAUGGUGCAACCGCUAUCAAAGGUUCGUUUGUUCAACGAUUAAAGUCCUACGUGAUCUGAGUUCAGACCGG